UUACGCCUACGGGAGGCAGCGGUCGAGAAUCAUUCACAAUGGGGGAAACCCUGAUGGUGCGACGCCGCGUGGGGGAAUGAAGGUCUUCGGAUUGUAAACCCCUGUCAUGUGGGAGCAAAUUAAAAAGAUAGUACCACAAGAGGAAGAGACGGCUAACUCUGUGCCAGCAGCCGCGGUAAUACAGAGGUCUCAAGCGUUGUUCGGAAUCACUGGGCGUAAAGCGUGCGUAGGCUGUUUCGUAAGUCGUGUGGGAAAGGCGCAGGCUCAACCCGCGGACGGCACAUGAUACUGCGAG
rnacentral:rRNA from 1 species